CCUACGGGUGGCUGCAGUGAGGAAUAUUGCGCAAUGGGGGCAACCCUGACGCAGCAACGCCGCGUGAGUGAGGAAGGUUUUCGGAUUGUAAAGCUCUGUCGAGCGGAAAGAAAUGCAUUAUGGCUAAUAUCCAUAGUGCUUGACGGUACCGCUAAAGGAAGCACCGGCUAACUCCGUGCCAGCAGCCGCGGUAAUACGGGGGGUGCAAGCGUUGUUCGGAAUCAUGGAGCCGGCAUGACGUGUAAGCGGCGAAAUCCCUGGGCUUAACCCAGGAAGUGCAUUUGAAACUGUCUAGCUAGAGUAAGGGAGAGGAAAGUGGAAUUCCUGGUGUAGAGGUGAAAUUCGUAGAUAUCAGGAGGAACACCGGUGGCGAAGGCGACUUUCUGGCCCUAUACUGACGCUGAGACGCGAAAGCGUGGGUAGCAAACAGGAUUAGAUACCCGAGUAGUC
rnacentral:rRNA from 1 species